ensembl:snRNA U1 U1 spliceosomal RNA
AUACUUCCCUGGCAGGGGAGAUACCAUGAUCACAAAGUUGGUUUUCCCAGGGCAAGGCUUAUCCAUUAUACUCCGGAUGUGCAGCCCCCUGUGGUUUCCUCAAAUGUGGGAAACCCGACUGCAUAAUUUUUAAUUAGUGGUAGUGGGGGACUGCGUUUGUGCUUUCGUCUG